CGCCGGCGUGGGCAGCGGGCUCAGAGGAGCCGAGACCCCGCCGGCCCUGGGAGAGAAAUGCCCACGGGUUUGAAUGGAAUCAGCAAGGCCGGGCUGGCAGCGCGUCCAUGGCGUUUAUUGUUCCAGCACAAGGGCGCUUUGGGGACAAGAGUUCCACGGAGGCCUCUGAGGAGAGAUUAGAUCGGUUCCCUGCUCUGCUCCCAGAUAAAACUGCCCAUGGCGGCCGAGGCAGCGGCGCCGCCGCCUUUGUGUGCUCCGGCCCCUGCAGCAGGAAAAGCGAGCCCACAGCUGGCAAAAAGGGACAUUGUCCCUGUGGGUGACAGCCAGGCCGCAGCUCUGGGGUGGCACUGAGUGGCUAUGGCUCAGCCACAACAGGGGGGACAGCACCGGUGACAUCUGAACCUUUCGGGAAUGCUUUCCUGGGAGAGGAGACGGGAGCUGCUGGAGAAUGCUGCUCUGAAGGCUCAGGGGGACAUUGGAUGGAGUAUCAGAUGGGAGUGUUCAGGAAACUCAAGAGCAAUUACAGCCCAGUCAUGUUCACAGGGCACCCCAUGAAUGCAUCAAGGCCAGGGCUCCUCACAAACCCAUCUCCAGCUCAAAGCCACCACACUUCCCUGGAUGCACCGGGGAGAAGAACCGCAGAGAGCUUGGAUGUCUGCAGAACAAAAGCCCUACACAAAGAAUUCCUGCCCGACUCGAAUGGCAGCCCGGGGUGCUGAUACAGUCUCAAACGCAGUAAUUAUUGCUGGCUUUGAAGCCUAACUUGUGCAGAGUGCACUUUCCACACCUAUUUCACCCAAACGACACCACUUACCUCAUCCCCUGCGUACCUGCUCCUCCAGAGCCCUUUGUAGUCCUGCCAGGGCCGCUCAUUACUGCUCUCAAACGCUGCUGCUGCUUCUGGAGCAGGAGACAGCAACUUUAUGCAGGGGAAAAUGCGAAAUUAAAAAAGGCUGCCCUGAAUUACAGCUUGAGAAAGCUUUGGUUGUAUUAUUUUGACCCACUUGAUGGGGGGAAGUUAAAGGAUUAAAUUGCCAAAUGGGUUUCUGUUGUGUGCAGCUCUCACAUGUCCAGCCCUGGCUCAUCCUUGACCUGCCACCCUGGAAGGAUCCUUCACUCCCAGGCCUUUCCCCGUGUCCUGUCCCACCAAACCCUCUGUUUGCUUCCUCAGUGCCACUCAAAUCCAACCCAAUUCCUUGUGGACACAUAGACUUCUUGCCAUUUUACCGUGGAGGUGGCAGAUGCAGAGGAAAGCUGUAAUAAAUCCAGGGUGGGCUUUCCCA
rnacentral:lncRNA from 1 species